UACGUAGGGUGCAAGCGUUAAUCGGAAUUACUGGGCGUAAAGCGUGCGCAGGCGGUGAUGUAGGACAGAUGUGAAAUCCCCGGGCUCAACCUGGGAAUGGCAUUUGGGACUGCAAGGCUCGAGUGCGGCAGAGGAGACUGGAAUUCCUGGUGUAGCAGUGAAAUGCGUAGAUAUCAGGAGGAAUACCGAUGGCGAAGGCAGGUCUCUGGGCUGACACUGACGCUCAUGCACGAAAGCGUGGGGAGCAAACAGG
rnacentral:rRNA from 1 species